rnacentral:rRNA from 1 species
AUCGAACGCUGGCGGCAGGCCUAACACAUGCAAGUCGAACGAGUGGCGGACGGGUGAGUAAUGUCUGGGAAACUGCCUGAUGGAGGGGGAUAACUACUGGAAACGGUAGAUAAUACCGCAUACCAUCGGAUGUGCCCAGAUGGGCUUAGCUAGUAGGUGGGGUAAUGGCGCACCUAGGCGACGAUCCCUAGCUGGUCUGAGAGGAUGACCGGCCAAACUGGAACUGAGACACGGUCCAGACUCCUACGGGAGGCAGCAGUGGGGAAUAUUGCACAAGGGGCGCAAGCCUGAUGCAGCCAUGCCGCGUGUAUGAAGAAGGCCUUCUGGUUGUAAAGUACUUUCAGCGGGGAGGCGUUACCCGCAGAAGAAGCACCGGCUAACUCCGUGCCAGCCGCCGCGGUAAUAC